rnacentral:sRNA from 1 species
AUGUGUGUGUGUGUGUGUGUGUGUGUCAAUACAUAUACAUAUACAUAUACAUACAUACAUACAUACAUAUAUAUAUAUAUAUAUAUUUUUUUUGCAGUAAUAAGAUGGAUUUCCGGAUUCAUAAACAUGUGCUAUUACCUGAAGAGCUGAGCUUCUAGGCCUAUUUCACCAUUAGUUAUCACCUUCAAGACUACCGGAUCUGGCAGCAUGCCACCAGCAAAUACCUAUUAAUUAGCAUAGCUGGUCGAUAGUACUCCAAAUACCAUGCACGCACAUAUAAAGCCAGGCAAUGCACGACAGAGUCCCCGACAUGCAAAACAAGACAAACGUAGAGUCGCAGAGGCUGGAACUCUCUUUUGGUAGAAAGCCUCUGCUGGAACUCAGAACUCAGAAGAGCAAAAGAUAAUUAUUCGUCUCUGUAUAUAUAAUAUACAAUAUCUGUGCAUGUCUUGUUUUCCCCAUAGACAAUUGUACGACAGACACACAUACAGUACGUAUUCAAAGAAGCAUCUUCAUGGAGGAAUGAAAAUUGAUGAUGUUCUAGAUUAAAUUGCGAUUAUUUUUUUAUUGAAUAUUGUCAAAGAUUAUUUGGCUUCAACAAUGGAAGAAUGGCAUAGUUUGUAACUUCAGAAUUUAUUCUAUGUAAUUUUACUAACGCUUGCCU